rnacentral:rRNA from 1 species
ACCGGCGCACGGGUGAGUAACACGUAUCCAACCUGCCGUCUACUCUUGGACAGCCUUCUGAAAGGAAGAUUAAUACAAGAUGGCAUCAUGAGUCCGCAUGUUCACAUGAUUAAAGGUAUUCCGGUAGACGAUGGGGAUGCGUUCCAUUAGAUAGUAGGCGGGGUAACGGGCCCACCUAGUCUUCGAUGGAUAGGGGUUCUGAGAGGAAGGUCCCCCACAUUGGAACUGAGACACGGUCCAAACUCCUACGGGAGGCAGCAUGU